AACUGGGGCUAAGUCGUAACAAGGUAGCCGUACCGGAAGGUGCGGCUGGAACACCUCCUUUCUAGAG
rnacentral:rRNA from 1 species